AACUUAUCAAGAGAAGCGGAGGGACUGGCCCGAUGAUGCUUCAGCAACCGGCCAUGCGGCAAAGGUGCUAAAUCCAGCGGACCGACACCGUCCGGGAGAUGAGAA
rnacentral:ncRNA from 1 species